UACGGAGGGGGCUAGCGUUGUUCGGAAUUACUGGGCGUAAAGCGCACGUAGGUGGUUUGCUAAGCCAGCUGUGAAAUCCCCGGGCUCAACCUGGGCACUGCAGUUGGAACUGGCAAGCUAGAGUAGGGUAGAGGGGUGUGGAAUUCCAGGUGUAGCGGUGAAAUGCGUAGAUAUCUGGAGGAACAUCAGUGGCGAAGGCGACACCCUGGACUCAUACUGACACUGAGGUGCGAAAGCGUGGGGAGCAAACAGG
rnacentral:rRNA from 1 species